rnacentral:rRNA from 1 species
GACGAACGCUGGCGGCGUGCUUAACACAUGCAAGUCGAGCGGUAAGGCCCUUUCGGGGUACACGAGCGGCGAACGGGUGAGUAACACGUGGGUGACCUCGCCCUCAGCUCUGGGAUAAGCCUGGGAAACCGGGUCUAAUACCGGAUAUGACUCCAUGACGCAUGUUGUGGGGUGGAAAGCCUUGUGCGGCUGAGGAUGGGCCCGCGGCCUAUCAGCUUGUUGGUGGGGUGAUGGCCUACCAAGGCGACGA